rnacentral:rRNA from 1 species
AGGAUGAACGCUAGCGGCAGGCUUAAUACAUGCAAGUCGAGGGGUAACAUGGUAGCAAUACUGAUGACGACCGGCAAACGGGUGCGGAACACGUACAGAACCUUCCUUUAAGCGGGGGAUAGCCCAUAGAAAUGUGGAUUAAUACCCCAUAGUAAUGUUUAAUGGCAUCAUUAGAUAUUUAAAGAUUUAUCACUUAAAGAUGGCUGUGCGGCUGAUUAGGUAGUUGGUGUAGGUAACGGCUCACCAAGCCAUCGAUCAGUAACUGGUGUGAGAGCACGACCAGUCACACGGGCACUGAGACACGGGCCCGACUCCUACGGGAGGCAGCAGUAAGGAAUAUUGGUCAAUGGACGCAAGUCUGAACCAGCCAUGCCGCGUGAAGGAUGAAGGCCCUCUGGGUUGUAAACUUCUUUUAUCUAGGGAAGAAAUGCCUGUUUUCUAACGGGUUUGACGGUACCAGAGGAAUAAGCACCGGCUAACUCCGCGCCAGCAGCCG